rnacentral:ribozyme from 1 species
GCUCCCAACUGGUUCGCAGACUAUGAAGCCAACUCUGGACGAUCCAUUUUGGAUGCCAUGUCUUUCAACUAUCACACCCCGGUGCCCCUAUUGGAAAGAUACAUG